rnacentral:pre_miRNA from 1 species
UAACCUCCACAGGCUGGCUGGGCCGGGCUGGGCUGGGCGAGUAUCUCUUCAAAAGGCUCACUCUCAAGCACAACAGGGAGC